GACGGAAGGUGCAAGCGUUGCUCGGAAUCACUGGGCGUAAAGGGUGCGUAGGCGGCUUGGUAGGUCUGGUGUGAAAGCCCCGGGCUCAGCCCGGGAAGGGCACUAGAAACUGCCAAGCUAGAGUGCCGGAGGGGAGAGUGGAAUUCCUGGUGUAGCGGUGAAAUGCGUAGAGAUCAGGAGGAAUACCGGUGGCGAAAGCGGCUCUCUGGGACGGUACUGACGCUGAGACGCGAAAGCGUGGGGAGCAAACAGG
rnacentral:rRNA from 1 species